rnacentral:rRNA from 1 species
AUGGCGCCGGCCGCCGUCGCCGCCGCGGCCUUCCCCUUCCGCCUCUUCUCCGCCGAGGCCGCCCGCCGGACCUCGAAGGGCGGCCGGGCCAAGCGCGGCUCCGCCAGGCCCGUCAAGUCCCCUCCGCUUCCCCCCGCCUUGUCGUCCGCGAACGUCAUCGGCCGCAGCGCGACCACGUUCACCCGCCUCCCUCUCCGCGACGCCGCCCCCGAGUCCGCGGAGGUCACCCUCGAGCGGUUCCCGACCGCGCCGGGCAACCCCGAGCGCGCAGCCCCCGCAUUGCCGCGCGGGAUUGUCCAGCGGCUGGGCGUAGAGGAGGACGACGAGGAUGAGGAUGGAGAGGUGGGCCUCGGCCGCCGUGGGGCUACCGCCGUCCGUCAGCUGCCUCUGCGAGACUCGAAGGUCGGUGGCGAGCGGGCCGCAGUCGGGCAAUUCGAUGCGCGCGCGGCCAGGAGGGGCCUGAAUAAUGGUCGCGCCAUCUCGCGUCAAAUGGUCGAACACCCUGGGGACGAAGACGAGGAGGAGGAGGAGGAGGAGGAGGAGUUCGUCGUCACCCGCUUGGACAUCUUCGAGGGCAGUAAGGGCAGGAAAGCUCGGGCUGUUCCGCCCGAGGAGCUCGACGAGGACGAUGGCGCCGUCGUGUUCGACCCGGACUACGGCCUCGACAGCGACGAUGAGGAGGAUGAGGAAGAAUUCGGCGCGGCGGCAAACGAGUGGUCUCCAGCAGGCGACGCCAUUGCAAGCGCGAAGCUCGAUGAGCUGGAGUACGACGGGGAGGACGACGACGAGGCGGAGGUCGUGGUGUAUCACCCAGACGACGACGAGGAAGAGGAGGAGGAGGUCGGCGUGUUUGAGGGCAGCGCCCACGACGACGACGACGACGGGGAGGAAGCGGAAGGUGAGGUGAAGGAGAAGGGGGUGCCCGCCGUGAUGCGGUGCUUCGACACGGCCAGGAUAUACUCCAAGGCCGGCGACGGCGGCAACGGCGUGGUGGCCUUCCGGCGCGAGAAGUACGUGCCGCACGGCGGGCCGUCGGGCGGCGACGGCGGCCGCGGGGGCAACGUGUACGUGGAGGUGGACGGGGACAUGAACUCGCUGCUGCCGUUCCGCAAGUCGCUGCACUACCGCGCCGGGCGCGGCGCGCACGGCCAGGGGUCGCAGAUGGCCGGGGCCAAGGGCGAGGACGUCGUGGUGAAGGUGCCGCCUGGAACAGUGGUCCGGUCGGCCGCCGGCGACAUAGAGCUCCUCGAGCUGAUGAAGCCUGGGCAGCGAGCGCUGCUCCUCCCCGGUGGCCGCGGCGGCCGCGGCAAUGCCGCGUUCAAGACGGGGACAAACAAGGUGCCCAGGAUUGCAGAGAAGGGGGAGAAAGGCCCUGAAAUGUGGCUUGAUUUGGAGCUAAAGUUGGUUGCUGAUGUUGGAAUUGUAGGAGCUCCAAAUGCUGGAAAGAGCACUCUUUUGAGUGCUAUUAGUGCUGCCAAGCCAACUAUAGCCAACUACCCUUUUACAACAUUGCUACCAAAUCUUGGGGUAGUCUCAUUAGAUUUUGAUGCUACGAUGGUAGUUGCAGACCUUCCUGGUUUGCUGGAAGGUGCUCAUCGUGGGUAUGGUUUGGGCCAUGAGUUUCUGAGACACAGUGAGAGAUGUUCAGUCUUGGUGCAUGUAGUUGAUGGUUCAGGAGAACAACCAGAAUAUGAGUAUGAGGCUGUCCGCUUGGAACUGGAGUUAUUUAGCCCAGCUUUGGUUGACAAACCUUAUAUAGUGGUGUACAAUAAGAUGGAUCUUCCAGAGGCAUCUGACAGAUGGAAUUCGUUCAGGGAAAAGCUACAGGCUCAGGGUUUUGAGCCUUACUGCACUAGUGCAUUAAACAGGCAAGGAACACAAGAUGUUGUUUAUGCUGCCUACAAGAUUCUACAGAAAGAGAGGCAAAGGGUGAAAGAAGUCGAAGAAUGGAAUAACACUCAAAAUCUGAAUCAUGUGGCUGAUGCAAUAAAAAGGGAAAGGAGUUCUGCCAUGAAUGAUUUUGAGAUUGUUCAUGACAAGGGCACAAAUACAUGGAAUGUUGUUGGAGCCGGAAUAGAACGAUUUGUUCAGAUGACCAAUUGGGACUACACGGAGUCCCUGAAAAGAUUCCAGCAUGUUUUGGAGGCGUGUGGUGUCAACAAAACUCUUGUCAAACUUGGAGUUAAGGAGGGCGACACGGUAGUUAUCGGUGAAAUGGAAAUGUUUUGGAACGAAGAGCCCAAGCGGGUCACGGCGAGGACGAUGAUCUCGAGAGACGACGAUGCCGUCAGAUGGCCUAAAUUCAGUUAG